CUUAAAACCUAGACCCCCCUCAUUAUUAAUCCACACACUGUUUGGAAAUUCUUCCCAUUGCACUAAAAACCUGACCGAACACAAACCCCUUGAGGGAAGAAGGCUCCUCGGUUUAAAACCUCUUUUCCCAACGGAACAUUUAGAAAGUACUUAAGGAAUAAGCAUUGGCUAACUUCAUGCAUACAGCCGCAUUUAUUCGGAGAAAGCCAACAACUCUCCCGAAUGAUUGGGCGUAAAGCCUCCGCAGGCGGCCAUGUAAAUCUGCUGUUAAAGAAUCUAGCUUACCUAGAUAAAAGCAGUGGAAACUACACACAUAGAAUACCUUUGUCGCAGAAGGAAUUCCCUUGUGUAGCGAUGAAAUGCGUAGAGAUCAGGAAGAACACCCGUGACGAAGGCGUUUUGUUAGGCCGCAACUGACACUGAGGGACGAAACCUUGGGGAGCGAAAGGGAUUAGAUACUCCAGUAGUCCUAGCCGGUAAACCAUGCAACCACACCAUUCGAGUAUACGAACCUCGCAGUACCGGAGCCAACGCGUUAAGUAUUCCGCCUNGGGAGUAUGCCCGCAAGUGUGAACCUCAAAGAAAUUAACGGGGGCCCGCACAACCGGUGGAGUAUGUGGUUAACUGCGACCAUCGGGGAAGAAGCUAGUCAAGACUUGACAUUCGCGGAAUCUGGAUAAAGCCAGAAGUACUUUCUUUGGUUUUAAAAAAGGGGCACAAGGAAAUGUAAAAAAUGUGAAAUUCCGAAAAAACAUGAGACG
rnacentral:rRNA from 1 species